rnacentral:rRNA from 1 species
AAUGGCCUAACGGCCGAACCAGCAACUUGGAAGAAUGUAUAGUACUUUAAAGUACAAAAGUGAUUUUUUCACAUAAAGUUCUAGAUAAAAAAAUGAUAAUGACAAAUAUUUAUCUAUAAGUCUUGUCUAAAUUACGUGCCAGCAGACGCGGUAAUACGUAGAAGACUAGUGUUAUUCAUCUUUAAUGGGUUUAAAGGGUACCUAGACGGAAAAUUAAGCUUUAAGUAAAGAUACUGAUUUUCUAGAGUUUUAUAAAAGAAGAUAGAAUUUGCAGAGUAGAGUUGAAAUUUUUUUAUACUGUAAAGACUGUUAACAGCGAAGGCAAUCUUCUGUGUAAAAA